UACGGAGGGUGCAAGCGUUAAUCGGAAUUACUGGGCGUAAAGCGCGCGUAGGCGGAAUACUAAGUCUCAUGUGAAAGCCCCGGGCUCAACCUGGGAACUGCAUGGGAUACUGGUAUUCUAGAAUACAGUAGAGGGUAGUGGAAUUCCAGGUGUAGCGGUGAAAUGCGUAGAGAUCUGGAGGAACAUCAGUGGCGAAGGCGACUACCUGGACUGAUAUUGACGCUGAGGUGCGAAAGCGUGGGGAGCAAACAGG
rnacentral:rRNA from 1 species